GUCUACGGCCAUACCACCCUGAACGUGCCCGAUCUCAUCUGAUCUUAGAAGCUAAGCAGGGUCGGGCCUGGUUAGUACUUGGAUGGGAGAACAUACUUAGAAAUUCCCCUUCCAGAAAUU
ensembl:rRNA 5S_rRNA 5S ribosomal RNA